UGAGGAAUAUUGGUCAAUGGAGGGAACUCUGAACCAGCCAUACCGCGUGCAGGAAGAAUGCCCUAUGGGUUGUAAACUGCUUUUAUUUGGGAAGAACCCUGAUUACGUGUAAUCAGCUGACGGUACCAAACGAAUAAGGACCGGCUAACUCCGUGCCAGCAGCCGCGGUAAUA
rnacentral:rRNA from 1 species